rnacentral:rRNA from 1 species
AUUGAACGCUGGCGGCAGGCUUAACACAUGCAAGUCGAGCGGGGUGAUGGUGCUUGCACUAUCACUUAGCGGCGGACGGGUGAGUAAUGCUUAGGAAUCUGCCUAUUAGUGGGGGACAACAUCUCGAAAGGGAUGCUAAUACCGCAUACGUCCUCCGGGAGAAAGCAGGGGAUCACUUGUGACCUUGCGCUAAUAGAUGAGCCUAAGUCGGAUUAGCUAGUUGGUGGGGUAAAGGCCUACCAAGGCGACGAUCUGUAGCGGGUCUGAGAGGAUGAUCCGCCACACUGGGACUGAGACACGGCCCAGACUCCUACGGGAGGCAGCAGUGGGGAAUAUUGGACAAUGGGGGGAACCCUGAUCCAGCCAUGCCGCGUGUGUGAAGAAGGCCUUAUGGUUGUAAAGCACUUUAAGCGAGGAGGAGGCUCUUUUGGUUAAUACCCAAGAUGAGUGGACGUUACUCGCAGAAUAAGCACCGGCUAACACUGUGCCAGCAGCCGCCGUAA